rnacentral:rRNA from 1 species
CCUACGGGACGCACCAGUGGGGAAUAUUGCACAACGGGCGCAAGCCUGAUGCAGCCAUGCCGCGUGUAUGAAGAAGGCCUUCGGGUUGUAAAGUACUUUCAGCGGGGAGGAAGGCGAUAAGGUUAAUAACCUUGUCGAUUGACGUUACCCGCAGAAGAAGCACCGGCUAACUCCGUGCCAGCAGCCGCGGUAAUACGGAGGGUGCAAGCGUUAAUCGGAAUUACUGGGCGUAAAGCGCACGCAGGCGGUCUGUCAAGUCGGAUGUGAAAUCCCCGGGCUCAACCUGGGAACUGCAUUCGAAACUGGCAGGCUAGAGUCUUGUAGAGGGGGGUAGAAUUCCAGGUGUAGCGGUGAAAUGCGUAGAUAUAUGGAGGAACACCGGUGGCGAAAGCGGCUCUCUGGACUGUGACUGACACUGAGGCUCGAAAGCGUGGGAAGCAAACAGGAUUAGAUACCCCCGUAGUC